CGCUCGGAUCUACCGCUCUGGGUGACCCCACCCCUGCUCUCCCGCAGGUGUUCCACGUGUCCAUAGCGUUUACGUCACAAUGACCUGGCCGACAGGUGGGAGCCGCAGCGAACGUCCCAGGGUUCCCUCUGCGCUGUGCAUGGCCAAGGUGAAAACUUGGGCGGUGACUCAAUGCAAGCGAAAAGUGGCUUUGAAGACAGUGUCUUAAGGUGAACAAAUAUGUUCUACAAGCAGUAUCAGGUCAGCAUGGCACUGAAAUUCCUUGGGCUCCCAGAGAGUUUAAGGCUUCGAUGAAGAGAGGAGAUUUAUUUUACACCGAAGAGAAAGUCUCUAGACUAACCUUGAGAUUCUUCCAAGUGCUAGAUAGAAGUCCAUGCCUUCUUUCUCCUUGCUGCUGCCACAUGACAAAGGUGAAGCCUUUGAGAGCUGAUUCAGAGUCCUUAUAAAAAACAUCCCAGAGAACUCCCUCUCUGUGUGAAGACACAGAAGACAGCUGUCUACAAACCAGAAGGCGGGCUCUCACCAGACACUGAACCUGCCAGGACCUUGACGUUGGACUCCUCCACCUCCAGAACUAUUUUUCUUUCGGCCCCUUGUGCAGUGGUUACCGGAACCUGUCGUUCUGUCCAUUCAGAACUACUCCUUUAUUCAUCGAAAUUAAGUGGGAUUCUUAAAUUUAAUAUUAGAGGACACAAUUUUGUGCCAUUUCUUCCUGGGGAGUGGAAGCUAAGAGAGAAGCUCAAGAGCUGUCAAUGGUCAUGUUUUCACCAUGUGCAGGAAUCCAGUCAAUAGCAAGAAAGAAUGAAGCCCAGGGGGGAGAAGAAGAGAUUCCCCCAGGGGGGAAUGAAGCCAUGGGGAGAAGAAGAGAUGAGAGAUAGGGAGCAAUCUGCUGGUGGUAUUCAAAGCCGUGAUUCAAAUUGUCCCCAAUCCUUGUCGUUCCAGAAGCUGAUUGUCAUUAAUCCUGUCCUUCCAGAAGCUGGUUGUUCCAACCCUCCUUACAUCACAUGAAACACCCCUGUACCUUCCUAUAAAGUCCCCACUUUUACCUAAGCCAGUUAGAAAUAAGUUUCUGUCACUUGCAAACAAAGGAUCUAGAUGAGAAUAGCCUAUAAGGUCUUUCAUGAUAUGGUCCCAAGCUUCUCAAUUCCAUCUUCACAAAACCCUCAGGAAGAUACUCAGCUGCAAAUAACAGAACACAGACAAACAGAUUUAAAUAAUAAAGGCAUUCCUUUCUCUCUCAUACCUGGAAGUGUAGACAAAGACAGAGAUAGUUCCAGAGAUGGUUUAUCAGUUUGACCAAAUGAUAAUGCUUUAGUCAGCUCUGCAGUUCUUGGGGUCUUUUCCUUGAUCAAGGAAGAAAGCAGCUCCAGACAGUCUUUAAGACCUAUGUGAGCGUUCCAGACAAGGAAGAAGGUGGCAAUCGCCUUCUCCUUGGGAGGGUCUGUUUUGAGCCUGGAAGGGAAGUUCAGCUGACUUCUCCUUGGAUCUCCUUGGCCAAAACUGGGCCACACGCCCAACCCCAGACUCAUGAUUGUGAAGUGAAAAUUACUUUGACCCCUUCCCUAACUGUCCUUACUUCAAUGGGUCUGUGUCAAUUAUAUGAGAUUCAGUUAACAGAGAAAGGAAAAUGGAACGAUAGCAUAGUCAAGGAAACAUGUCUACCACACAUAUUUCCAUUAUCCUCCCCUGUCCUUCCCCUGCCACCAUUGCUACCAUUAUCCCAAUUUUAAGAGCCAGACUUAUCAAACUGCCUUCAACCAAGCAUACUGUGCUCUCUGUGGUUUCUUUGGCCUCUGUGGGCCUUUGCUCAUAACCUUUGCUCUGCCCACAACAGAUUCUCCAUCCUUCAUUUAAUAGUUUCUUGGUUUUUGUGGGUCCUUCUCCCUUCAGGCCUCAGCUUAGAUAUCACUUCCUGUGGAAAGUCUUCGUUGACCCCCAGUUCCAUAGCACCCUCCUGUUAGUCCUGUCAUAGGAUCUGUGGGAUCAUAUGGUAAUUUUCUAUUUAUAUAUUUUCUACUAGACCGUAAACUCUUUGAUGGCUUAUUGACUGGGUCUUAUUUCUCUAUGGUCUCACACAGAGCCUGCACAUAGUAGAUGAUCACUAAAUACUUGUAGAAGUAAAAGAACUGAAGCAUUUUUUGAGGGCACUCAAAAUCAACUUAUGUUAAAAUUGCUUUAAAAAACUCAUAAGAACAUAGGUGUUAAUUUGUUUCUGAUUUUUGUUAAAGGGAAUAAACAAAAGAGUGAUUUGUUUAGAAAAAUUCCUGAUAGACCUUUGCAUUUAAAAAGUCAUGGCUGUGAUGGCUUUGAAAGAGCAUAGCAAAGGAUGAUUUUUCACUUAGGGCAAUAUUCAUUCUGUUUGUCUCACAUAAGAGCUAAAGAUUCAAAAGCUUUUAAUCAAAAGCUGCUUGGGAUGCUCUCUUUGCUCCCCCCUCACGUGUGUGUGUGUGUGUGUCUCAAAAUAAAUAAAAAAUAAUUUAAAAAAGAAAUGUCUUCACCUCUAGGUCCUAGGUUGGGACCUAGGACCUAGGUCGGGACCUAGGUCCUAGGUCCCAUUAAGAGCUUUUGAUCGGUCCUUACAUGAUUUUUCUUUUUUUAAUUUAUUUUUUUUAAUGUUUUUAUUUAUUUUUGAGACAGAGAGAGAGCGAGCAUGAGUGAG